GACGAACGCUGGCGGCGUGCCUAAUACAUGCAAGUAGAACGCUGAAGCUUGGUGCUUGCACCGAGCGGAUGAGUUGCGAACGGGUGAGUAACGCGUAGGUAACCUGCCUGGUAGCGGGGGAUAACUAUUGGAAACGAUAGCUAAUACCGCAUAAUAGUAGAUGUUGCAUGACAUUAGCUUAAAAGGUGCAAUUGCAUCACUACCAGAUGGACCUGCGUUGUAUUAGCUAGUUGGUGAGGUAACGGCUCACCAAGGCAACGAUACAUAGCCGACCUGAGAGGGUGAUCGGCCACACUGGGACUGAGACACGGCCCAGACUCCUACGGGAGGCAGCAGUAGGGAAUCUUCGGCAAUGGACGGAAGUCUGACCGAGCAACGCCGCGUGAGUGAAGAAGGUUUUCGGAUCGUAAAGCUCUGUUGUAAGAGAAGAACGAGUGUGAGAGUGGAAAGUUCACACUGUGACGGUAUCUGACCAGAAAGGGACGGCUAACUACGUG
rnacentral:rRNA from 1 species